rnacentral:rRNA from 1 species
UACGUAGGGUGCAAGCGUUAUCCGGAAUUAUUGGGCGUAAAGAGCUCGUAGGCGGUUUGUCACGUCUGCUGUGAAAACUGGAGGCUCAACCUCCAGCCUGCAGUGGGUACGGGCAGACUAGAGUGCGGUAGGGGAGAUUGGAAUUCCUGGUGUAGCGGUGAAAUGCGCAGAUAUCAGGAGGAACACCGAUUGCGAAGGCAGCUCGCUGGGACGUAACUGACGCUGAGACGCGAAAGCGUGGGGAGCAAACAGG